UUCUGUCAUCAACAUGCUAAACAUUAACUGAAUGCUUACGUCUUUAUUGAUCUUCAGAUGUUCAGUUUCCCGAAUAACUUCCCAUUCUUUAGGUAUAUCAAAUUGCCCAGAAUCAGAAACUAUCUCUCAGUCAAUAGGAUUCAGCAACUUCUUCGCGUGUGUGAAGGCAAAUGGGCAAUGAGCUAGAGACUUUCUGAUGGAUCCUGUAUUUCGGGACUUUCGAGUGUGGCUGCCAAGAAGAUACCUAGCUUCAUCAUCCUCUUGUUCCUCUUGAAGGCUUCUUCUCUGUUCUAUGAACCAGAACCAUUACAUGAAAGGCGCAAAGUUGGA
rnacentral:lncRNA from 1 species